CAUCAACUUUUGGAUUAUGAGGUACAGCAGCAGUUGGCAGCCCAACUUGAAGACUGGAAGUCUUUACUGCUUCGUCAUUGAAAGAAUAAGAGGCAAAUCGUGAAGAUGUAAACCAGUGAUGCUGGAAAGGAGAUGCUCUUCAGGACCACUCUUCUGAAGACCUCUAUUGGACACUUUGUUGCUUAAGGCAGCCAAACCUGGUAUUAUGAGCGUCACCUAAGUGGUUGAUUUUGAAGACCUGAGGGAGUUGUGGAGAAGAGCUGAGAUUUGGUACUGUGAGGGCUUACAGGAGGUCACUGGUGAAGAUGAAGCAUCUGUGCAGUUCAAGAUCCAGGACUGAAGAGGUCAUGCAGAGGUUGCGGUUCAGCACCAUGGAAAGAACCAGGAGAGGCUAUUGGUGAAAGUGCAGCCCAGUGGCAGCGGGAGAGGACUGGCAAGGAGAGCAGCAGCUCUGACAUCAAGGCAAUCUAUGCGACAUACUCAUAUCACAUAGCAGCACUUAUACUCAUAUCACACAGCAGCACUUAUACCCAUAUCACACAGCAGCACUUAUACUCAUAUCACACAGCAGCACUUAUACCCAUAUCACACAGCAGCACUUAUACCCAUAUCACACAGCAGCACUUAUACCCAUAUCACACAGCAGCACUUUGGAGUCCCAAACCUGAUCUGAGUUCUAUACUGCUGAACUUUGGUUUGACUCGAAUGUGACUCCAACUGUGCUCUGGUUCUUCCCUGAUAGAGUAAGAAAUUAUUUAAUUUAUUUUGAUUUUAUAGGAGCCCACAGUUAAGAGACUGGAUUUUUAGAGUUUUCCAUAGACAUGGGAUUUUAAAAGAGAAGUUGGAGAUUUUGUUUUGUUUUUGUUUGUUUUUUUAAGAAACUGAACUUUUAAAUAUUUGAAUUGGUAAAGGUUGUGGAAUUUUUAGCCUAUGUUUGUAUUUUGAUAUUAAAAUGAGGUAGAAGGAAAAGAACUGAAUCCUGCAAAUUGUUCUUCAAUCUUCAUUUACACUAUAGCAUGCCCUUGUGUGGCUGAUCCCCAUAAUCCUAUACAUAAAUACAUAAAAAUAAAAGCCCAUGAGUCUGUGGUCAU
rnacentral:sRNA from 1 species